UUUCACUGCCCAGGGACGAGCAUGUGAAGAAUCAGUACCUAGAGUUUAUAUUUACAACUAUACCACACAAGUAUAGCCCGAACCUUGUGCUGUGUUCGCGACAUUUUAAUGACGAUUGCUUUACGAACAUGAAUGCUUUCAAUUGUGGAUUUGCGAGCCGGUUGAUACUGAAGGAAGGUUCAGUACCAAGUUUAUUUGGAUCAGCUUCCUCCUCCGAAUCACAACCUGUAAGUAUUAUUAAUAAUUGUUGCUUUUAUGUGUUUUUUAGCAUGCUUAAUAAGUGUUUGUGUGUGUUGUGUAAGUUACACUCAGCGCAGCUUCUAGGUCUCCAAUGUCAAUUAUUUUGAAAUAUGUGAAAUGUUUGUCGAUGUUAUUGGAGUUGUCAUAAAGAAUAGAGCAAUAACUUGUAGUAAUGCAGUGCUUUACCAAUAUGUUUAUGCGUUGGGCUAACGCAAACAAUAACUGAUUGGGUGUUUACCACCGAACUUUGGGCUAUGAUCGCUAACAUAAAUCAACUCAAAUUCCUUCUCUGAUUUAGAUUUUUUUACUACAAAGCGGUGAUGGGUGUUCCGUUUCCGACAACCUCUGCACAGAGUAUACCAAUCACAACUGACUGGGUCAUCUGACCAAUCACUGCAGAUUAGCGUCACGCAAAGGAGGGGUUUGGAAAAAUGAGUCGUUGAACGAAUCAUUUGGGAGUCGGUGAGCAAAUCAGUAAAUCUCGACAUCUGCUUUAUUCUUGGCAAUCAUAAUUUCAAGAUGGAUUAUAUUUCCCAGCACCAUCUAGCACUCUGCGAACUCAACUAACUAGAUCACUUCUGAAGACAUGGAUUAAAACACUUAUGGAUUACUUUUAUGCUGCCCUUAUAUGUUUUUUGGAUCGUCAAAGUUUUGGUCCCUGUUGACUUGUAUUGUAUGAACCUACAGAGCUGAUAUAUUCUUCUAAAAAUCUUAAUUUGUGUUCUGCAGAAGAAAGAAAGUCAAACACAUCUGGGAUGACAUGAGGAGAUUUUUGGUCAAUUAUCUCUUUAUCUUUUUGAGAUUUUAAAUUGAUGAUUUCACUUUAGGAUGUGUGGCAGAGCUCAUUUCAAUAGUCAAGAAAAUAUCAGAAAUUUGAGGUCAAUCUUGUUAAGGUUAUAAAAAAGAACUUUGUAGAUUUUUUCUAGAGAAUAAUUUUUCCUCUGUCCCACUUUACCAGAACUGCUUAAAUA